rnacentral:rRNA from 1 species
CCCUUAGAUGUUCUGGGCCGCACGCGUGCUACACUGAGUGGAUCAGCGGGUCAGGUUGCGCGAAAGCGUUUCCUAAUCUUUAAAUCCGCUCGUGAUGGGGAUUGACGGUUGCAAUUUUCUGUCAUGAACGAGGAAUACCUUGUAAGCGCGGGUCAUCAUCCCGCGCUGAAUACGUCCCUGCCCUUUGUACACACCGCCCGUCGCUACUACCGAUUGAAUGGUUUAGUGAGAAUUUUGGACUGGAACUCCCUUGCUCAGCAAUGGGCGAGGGGGAGUCCGGGAAGCUAUUCGAACUGUAUCAUUUAGAGGAAGUAAAAGUCGUAACA